UACGUAGGGACCAAGCGUUUGUUCGGAUUUACUGGGCGUAAAGGGCGCGUAGGCGGCAAUUCAAGUCAUCUGUGAAAUCUCCGGGCUUAACCCGGAACGGUCAGGUGAUACUGUUUUGCUAGAGUGCGGAAGGGCAAUCGGAAUUCUCGGUGUAGCGGUGAAAUGCGUAGAUAUCGAGAGGAACACCAGAGGUGAAGACGGGUUGCUGGGCCGACACUGACGCUGACAGCGCGAAAGCCAGGGGAGCAAACGGG
rnacentral:rRNA from 1 species